ACACGUAGGGGGCGAGCGUUGUUCGGAAUCAUUGGGCGUAAAGGGCGCGCAGGCGGCCAUGUAAGUCUGGUGUAAAAUGGUCAUGCUUAACAUGAUCAUGCGCUGGAAACUGUGUGGCUUGAGUCAACGAGGGGAUGCCGGAAUUCCAGGUGUAGGGGUGAAAUCUGUAGAUAUCUGGAAGAACACCAAUGGCGAAGGCAGGCAUCUGGCGACUGACUGACGCUGAGGCGCGAAGUUGCGGGGAGCAAACAGGUUUAGAUACCCUGGUAGUCCGCACAGUAAACGAUGUGCACCAGGUGGCGGGCAGCAGUGCUCGGUGCCGAAGCAAACGCAUUAAGUGCACCGCCUGGGGAGUAUGCUCGCAAGGGUGAAACUCAAAUGAAUUGACGGGG
rnacentral:rRNA from 1 species